GCUUAACACAUGCAAGUCGAACGAGGUACCCAUGACUGCGGCUUCGGCCAAAGGAUUGGACUACCUAGUGGCGGACGGGUGAGUAACGCGUGAGCAACCUGCCUUCGAGAGGGGGAUAACACCGGGAAACUGGUGCUAAUACCGCAUAACGUAACGAGAUCGCAUGAUUUUGUUACCAAAGGAGCAAUCCGCUCGAAGAUGGGCUCGCGUCUGAUUAGCUAGUUGGUGAGGUAACGGCCCACCAAGGCGACGAUCAGUAGCCGGGCUGAGAGGGUGAACGGCCACAUUGGGACUGAGAUACGGCCCAGACUCCUACGGGAGGCAGCAGUGGGGAAUAUUGCACAAUGGGGGAAACCCUGAUGCAGCAACGCCGCGUGAAGGAAGACGGUCUUCGGAUUGUAAACUUCUUUUCUCAAGGACGAUAAUGACGGUACUUGAGGAAUAAGCCACGGCUAACUACGUGCCAGCCGCCGCGGUAA
rnacentral:rRNA from 1 species